UGGGAUUGUGGCUCAGUGGUAGAGCACUCGCCUAGCAUGGGUGCGACCCGGGUUCGAUUCUCAGCACCACAUAAAAAUAAAGGUAUUGUGUUGUGUCCAUCUACAGAAAAAAAAAAAAAAAAGAGUAUAUAUGACCUGCAGUUCCAGAUGCCGUAGGGAACCAGUGAAACAAGACUACAGAAAAGUAGAAGAAAAUGAACAGUGUGAUCUGUUGAGUGUUGUUACCUUCAAAAAAUCAUUUUACUACCCUUAUAUGGCGAGAGACAGAGGGAAACGGAAAUAAGGAUGGUAUUUGGUGGCAAAAUGAAUGAGAGUUGAAUGACCUAGGAGGUUUCAUAGGAUCAGGAAACUUUUCCCUUUUACUUUUGAAGAUGGCAAAAGAAUAGAUUCCAUGAGUUUAAGAGAUGUUUAGCCAGGCACAAACCUGUAACCACAGAGACUUGGCAGGUGCAGGCAAGAGGAUUGCAAGUUUGCAGCUAGCUCAAUGUAGCUCAGUGGUAAAGCAUCCCAGGGUUCAGUUCCCAGUACCAAAAAGAAAAUAAAAAAGGAAGAGAGAAUUUCAAAUGGCAAAAAGAAUCAUCUCUUUUAAUGAAGAUCUAUCUGAAUGGGAAGGAAUGAGACCUAGGUAGACUUGUCACUUUUAAUCAUGAAGAGAGCAACUUUUUAUAGUGAGAACGAAGGGAAGGCUACCAAGUUGGAUCAGUGGGCCUACUGAUGAGUGGAAAUGAAAAUGAAAUUCUAAAAGAGAACUUGUACUAAAUGCUAUUAUUUUACAGAAAGUACUUUCAGAGGAGGCAAAACUAACUCCUUUCAGGUAUGAUUUGGGUGGUGGAGAAGAAUUGGAAGGAGAGAGGUAAAAUUUGGGAAUCAUCACUAUUGG
rnacentral:lncRNA from 1 species